CAUUAAUGUUGGUAUUAUACUUGUUUAUCCAUUACAACCAUAGGUUGGCUAUAAAUAGAGGGGUUAGGCAAAAUCCAAGAAAAGCAUACUAUAAGAAGCAACUCACUAAUAGAAGUUACAAUAAAGAGUAUUAUAGGAUUUUAUUAUUUGUUGAUUUCUAUCAGUAAAAUUUAUAAUACAAACACAUAUACAUUUUGCUUCAGAGAGCCAAUUAUUAAACAUUUACAAGUACACACACUGUUUCCCCUCCACUAGAAUGUAAGCUUGAGGGCAAGAAUUUUCUGUUAUUCUAGCACUUAGAAAAAGCACCUAGCAAGGUUCCAAUUCUGUUAUUACCCUCAAAGAGGUCCCCUUCCUGACCUCUCAGAUACCAAGGCUUCAACAGACAGAGGUCAUUCUUGCAGCUGUCAUGCUGACUGCUACCUGCCUUCUUUGACAGGCCCUCACUAUCUCUCCCACACCAACAGAGACUUCACAUUUCCAGGGUUCCUCUCAGAUCUGGGCUGGACCUCAUCUGGAGGGUCUGAGCAGCCCAAGGUGUUAAGGGGCCCAAGUGUCAGCAGGAUGUCCAAAGGGCCUGAUUCUAGACAUUGGAUUUAGGGGCUGAGUUGAGGGGUAUCUCCUUGAGCUCCGUCCGCAUGCACAGGUACUCCCCGAUGACAGCCAUGAGUGCAAUGCACACGGCUUGGACCAGCCACCAGGUCAGCGCCGAGGGGAAACGGGAGCUGUAGAACCAGCAGCCCAGGAGGUGAAAGAAAUGGACAGUGACAGUGAAAUCCAGACACUGCUUUCCUCGCCGGAUGAAGUACAGCAAGCCCAGGGCACUGUGGGGAGAGGACAGCAGUGAGUUGUCACUGGGUUGUCCUGGCCUUAGGUUAUUUGGGAGGGUAGGGACAAUUAGGACGGCAGCAUAGUGGUCAGAAGUGACGAGAUAAGUGUGAAGCAAGG
rnacentral:lncRNA from 1 species